AAUUCCUAAGUUAUUUCAAUAUCAUUUCAACACGACAUUGUUUUAUAGAAUGAGGGACUAACUUUUAUCUUAAUUUAUAUAUUUUUCAUGUGCCAUAAGUUUCUAAAGGUACAAGGUACAACAACCAUAACCUUGACCUUGAAGCUAUUUUAUCUCAAAACAUCAAAUUCAAGUACGCAGUUGACAUUUGUACGGAAAAUUUCUCAAUUACAAGAAUUGCUAUAUAUCAUCAGGAACUAACAACGAAAUGGCGGAAUCAACUUUAAAUUGGAAAGAAGCAAAAUCAAUUUAUGAAUUCACUGUGAAUGAUAUCAAUGGUCAACCAGUUUCCUUAGAAAAAUAUAAGGGACAUGUACUAAUCAUAGUCAAUGUUGCAUCAAAAUGUGGAUAUACAAAUAAUCAUUAUACUGAAUUGAACGAACUUUAUGACGAAUAUGCAGAAACCAAAGGAUUGAAGAUCCUUGCUUUUCCUUGCAAUCAAUUUGGAGGACAAGAACCCGGUGAUGCUAACGAGAUUUGUGAGUUUACUAAAAAGAGAAAUGUUAAAUUUGAUCUCUUUGAAAAAGUAAAUGUGAAUGGAAAUGAUGCUCACCCUCUCUUCAAAUAUUUAAAACAAAAACAGGGUGGGUUUUUAUUGGAUGCUAUCAAAUGGAAUUUCACUAAAUUCAUCAUUGACAAAAAUGGUCAACCAGUUGAUAGACAAGGGCCCAAUGUGAGCCCCAAAUCUCUAAUAAAAACUCUUGAAAAAUAUUGGUAAUAAUUUCUUAUGUAUAAGUGAGAAUGGCUUUGUCAUUAUAAGAAUAAGAUAAUUUUGCGAUAUUAAGGUAUGUAAUUUCAUGUUUUAUAUAUGAUUAAAGUUGAAAGACUGAAAAAUUUAUAUUGGUGUUGAUUCCAUUGAAAAAUUGUAAUUCUCACAUAUGUGUAGGAUUGGGACUGAAGUUCAAAAAAAUAAGAUAUUGAGGUACAUAAUAUGUAACAUAAUUUCAACUUUUUUAAUCUUUUUUCAAUGUUUUAUAAAUAAUAUUUAUGGUGAUAUUGGCUUUUGAAAUAAUAAAUGGUGAAUAUUUAAAA